rnacentral:rRNA from 1 species
GAUGAACGCUGGCGGCGUGCCUAACACAUGCAAGUCGAGCGGCAGCGAGGGGUGCUUGCACCCUGUCGGCGAGCGGCGGACGGCUGAGUAACGCGUGGGAACGUGCCCCAAAGUGAGGAAUAACUGCCCGAAAGGGUAGCUAAUACCGCAUAUUAUCUUCGGAUCAAAGGAUUUAUCCGCUUUGGGAGCGGCUCGCGUCGGAUUAGGUAGUUGGUGAGGUAAUGGCUCACCAAGCCGACGAUCCGUAGCUGGUCUGAGAGGAUGACCAGCCAGACUGGAACUGAGACACGGUCCAGACUCCUACGGGAGGCAGCAGUGAGGAAUCUUACACAAUGGGCGAAAGCCUGAUGGAGCAACGCCGCGUGCAGGACGAAGGCCUUCGGGUUGUAAACUGCUUUUAUAAGUGAGGAAUAUGACGGUAACUUAUGAAUAAGGAUCGGCUAACUACGUG